CCUCCCCUUAAAAGAUUUCAUAAUUCCUUGUUUAUCUUCUUCCUAUUACAUGCUUCCUUGUAUACCCAGUAUUUGAAUAUCAAGUUUCUGGAUCCUGGGUGAUUGACUUAUUUCGAAGAUGUGUUUUUGGAAUAUUUUCUCUGGGAUUCCUUCCUCUGAUGAUAACAAUGAAAGAGGGACUGGUGCCAUAUUUGGAUUAUAGGGUUCAUUAGAUUGUGCUUUACAGUAUUGUUUUUCUGGGAUUAUGGAGGACUACAACUUAGCGUUCAUGAUUCGUGUAAUAACCAUAAAGGUGAUUGUUCCUUUGUCAAAUUAAGGGAGCAUAGUGAAAGGCACAUUGUCCAAUGUCUAUAUUUUGUAAGCCAUAUGGUCUAUAUCAGAAUGCUAUUCCUUUUUUUUUUUUUUGUAUCUCAUUUGUUUCUGUUGCCAAAAGCCAUAUAAACCCAGAAAGCAGUUUAGAAAAGAACAAAUGAACGUUUAGGAGUUAGGAGUUUUGUCUUCGUAUCUUAGUUGAAUACCGGAAUAAGAAGACCCAGGCAUCAUAGUCCAGUGAUCUGUCAGAAUUCAUUAGAGUGCUUGAGUUUUACUCCAGGUACAAAAAAUAACAUUGGCCAAAAGAAGAGAUGGUAGUAUGCCUGAAAUUUAUUAAAGGUAUUGUGGUUAUGGAUCCAUAUCCUGGUUAGGUUGGCUAGUAUACUAAUUCAUAGACCCAAGUGGCCAAACAAUCCAGGGGUCCCUUGCAUUUUCAACAAUGCAUCAACUUUUAUUAAUAAGAGUUGGAAGCAUAUACAAAUUGAUGAUUAACAUAUAAUCUGUCAUGUAGGUUUAUCAAUGAUAAGAAGGGCUUCGUGCUUGGGAACGAUGGGGUCUUGCUCCGAUAUCUUGGUUAAAGUGGUAAUCCACCCAAGGUUUUUCAAAGUGCUUGCAAUUUUGUAUAGUUGAUUUGUAUGCCUGGAUGUUUUGGCUGUAAAUUAUAUACAGAGGUACCAAACUUUCCCUGCAAUUCAAUACCGUAGUUGCAAUGUUUUUAUAGAAUUAGCUGUGAUUCUUUGUGAUCUGUUGUACCCCGAAAGAAGCUCUCACAGAAAUGAUGAGAUUAUGAUGUUCUUUUAUCAAGUAUUGGCCUACGUUGUAAGUCCAUUCCAAUGAAUACAUGAAUUAAGAGUUGCAAGUUUAACUUGGGUUAUAGACUUUCUGAAGAAUUUGUCAGACACGAACUAGUGAGUCCUAGCAGUUGAAUGAAGUUGAUUGAUUAAAGAAUAGAAUCUUGGGGAAAGACCAAACCAUGAUAAUUACUUGGUAAUCAAAUUUCAGUUAUUCUUUUCAAUAUAUUUGAUCGAUAGAUUUGGCUAUUGUAGUAGGAAAAAUUAUUAGAUAUUUUAGGAGUAUAGUUAAGUUAGUAUACCUCAUAAACUUUAAUCUUGUUUGUUUCUAUAACUUUUUAAUAUAAAUUUAAAACAAACUAAUCAAAUUAAUGAGAGUUAUCAACUUGUAUGUACUUUGUGAAGUAGCUUAUAGUUUGUUGUUUUUGCAGUAAUUGAUUCUUCAUUUUCUCCAACAGUGAGAAGACAAACUUCUCUAUUCUGUUGAUUUGACAGAGAUGGUGGGAGUAAUGUAAAACUUUAUGUUUUUAAAAGGAAAAAAGAAAUAUUUUUCAUUAGAACUUAAUAAUAACUAUCUUAUUGCAGUGCA